rnacentral:rRNA from 1 species
GACAGAGGGUGCAAACGUUGUUCGGAUUUACUGGGCGUAAAGCGCGUGUAGGCGGCUUUGCAAGUCGAACGUGAAAUCCCUGGGCUUAACCCAGGAACUGCGUCCGAUACUGGGAGGCUUGAAUUCGGGAGAGGGAUGCGGAAUUCCAGGUGUAGCGGUGAAAUUCGUAGAUAUCGGGAGGAACACCGGUGGCGAAGGCGGCGACCUGGGUCGAGACUGACGCUGAGGCGCGAAAGCGUGGGGAGCAAACAGG